UACGAAGGGGGCUAGCGUUGCUCGGAAUUACUGGGCGUAAAGCGCAUGUAGGCGGCAACGCAAGUCGGGCGUGAAAUCCCACGGCUCAACCGUGGAAGUGCACUCGAAACUGCGUAGCUAGAGUCCUGGAGAGGAAGGUGGAAUGCUUGGUGUAGAGGUGAAAUUCGUAGAUAUCAAGCGGAACACCGGUGGCGAAGGCGGCCUUCUGGACAGUGACUGACGCUGAGAUGCGAAAGCGUGGGGAGCAAACAGG
rnacentral:rRNA from 1 species